GCCGGGUGCGGUGGCGCGCGCCUGUAAUCCAAGCUACCGGGAGGCUGAGGCUGGCGGAUCGUUUGAGCUCAGGAGCUCUGAGCUGCAGCGGACUAUGUCGAUCGGGUGUCCGCACUAAGUUCGGUAUCGAUAUGGUGCUCCUGGGGGAGCCCGGGACCACCAGGUCGUCUAAGGAGGGGUGCACCGGCCCAGGUCGGAAACGGAGCAGGUCAAAGCCCCCGUGCCGCUCAGUAGUGGGAUCGCGCCUGUGAAUAGACGCUGUAGUGCAGCCUGAGUAAUACAGCGGGACUCAGUCUUUU
ensembl:misc_RNA Metazoa_SRP Metazoan signal recognition particle RNA